rnacentral:rRNA from 1 species
AUUGAACGCUGGCGGCAGGCCUAACACAUGCAAGUCGAGCGGAUGAGAAGAGCUUGCUCUUCGAUUCAGCGGCGGACGGGUGAGUAAUGCCUAGGAAUCUGCCUGGUAGUGGGGGACAACGUUUCGAAAGGAACGCUAAUACCGCAUACGUCCUACGGGAGAAAGCAGGGGACCUUCGGGCCUUGCGCUAUCAGAUGAGCCUAGGUCGGAUUAGCUAGUUGGUGGGGUAACGGCUCACCAAGGCGACGAUCCGUAACUGGUCUGAGAGGAUGAUCAGUCACACUGGAACUGAGACACGGUCCAGACUCCUACGGGAGGCAGCAGUGGGGAAUAUUGGACAAUGGGCGAAAGCCUGAUCCAGCCAUGCCGCGUGUGUGAAGAAGGUCUUCGGAUUGUAAAGCACUUUAAGUUGGGAGGAAGGGCAGUAAGUUAAUACCUUGCUGUUUUGACGUUACCGACAGAAUAAGCACCGGCUAACUCUGUGCCAGCCGCCGCGGUAAGAC